rnacentral:tRNA from 1 species
ACUUAAAUAGCUUAUACUAAGAGCGUAGCUUUGAAGAAGCUAAUGAAUUGCCUAACAAUUUUAAGUG